rnacentral:rRNA from 1 species
AACGCGAAGAACCUUACCAGCCUUUGACAUGGCAGGCCUGGCCGAGAGAUCGGUCGUUUCCUUCGGGAACCUGCACACAGGUGCUGCAUGGCUGUCGUCAGCUCGUGUCGUGAGAUGUUGGGUUAAGUCCCGCAACGAGCGCAACCCACGUCCUCAGUUGCCAUCAUUCAGUUGGGCACUCUGGGGAGACUGCCGGUGAUAAGCCGCGAGGAAGGUGUGGAUGACGUCAAGUCCUCAUGGCCCUUACGGGCUGGGCUACACACGUGCUACAAUGGCGGUGACAGAGGGACGCUAGACCGCGAGGUCGUGCCAAUCUCUAAAAUCCGUCUCAGUUCGGAUUGCACUCUGCAACUCGAGUGCAUGAAGUGGAAUCGCUAGUAAUCGCCGAUCAGCCCCCC